ACAAACCAGUUCAGUGGAUCCCUUGGCUUGUG
rnacentral:rRNA from 1 species